UAUCUCCUAUGUGAUUUUGAUUUUGAUUCAAUUUGUUCAUUUCCAAGUUCUUUUUCUUUAAUUUAAUUAAUGUGUAAAUUAUGCACACCACCUGUUUGCUAAUAUGCCUCUGAAAAUAGAAAGUAUAAAAUCUGUUGGUGUCUCAACCAUGAAUAAAGAGGCAUUCUCACUACCAGCCACCAACAUUAAGCUAUAAAAUCUGGAAUAUAAAUUUAUACUCUGGGUCUAGUAACAUAUAAUGAACCUUACCAAGCUUAAACAAAAGAAAUAUAAUGCUGCUUUCAGAAGGUGUAGUAUAGCCAUCAGUUCAAGGUGGUGGUGAUUAUUAGGAAAUUGUUGAGACAUAGAAGGAGCUAGAAUUGAUUAGAAAGACCCAUAAAAUGUCUGCUAUCUUCUUUGAUAGUCAACUCAUUAAUUCCAUUAGUCCUGUAAAAAAAAUUUCCCUUUCUUUUUUUUUGUUUCUUAUUGAAAUAAUAUUGCAGUGUGCACCUUCUACCAGAAAGGAGUCUGUUCUUAUGGAAGCCAAUGCAGAUAUGAACAUGUUAAAGUUUUUCGAUCACAGUCCUCCACUGUAUCUUCUUCCACAAUUUCUCACCAAUUUUUGGUUUCUGAUUCAAUUUUUGGUCUCAUUCAUUCUGUAUAUCUUGUAUCAGGAAUUGGCAUGGCAGAGUAAUUCCUCAACCUCUGGAAUGGAUGCCAACUUUACAUUGAUGGCAUGCCCAAUAUGUAGAAAGGUUUCAUACUUUGUCAUUCCUAGUGUCAUUUGGUAUUCUACAAAAGAAGAAAAACAGGAAAUUGUUGACAGCUACAAAGCAAAACACAGGUAUAAUUAUGUGGGUCAUGUACUUCUCUUGAAAUGGUUAUUAGUUCUCCAAUUCUCUUAGAUAUAGGUUGUCUCAGGUUUGUUAUAGUAGAUUCUUUUAUUAGUUUAUUCUAUAAAAUUGCAAUUAUUGCUCUUUAUAAGAUUAGUUUUGAUACGAGGAUUGGGCACACAUCCAUAAUAGUUAGUUACUCAAUUCAAAACUAUUAAAAUAUGAUAUUAAUGUAUGAGUUAGCUACUAGAAAUGAUUAGAGAUGGGAAUAAAGGGUUUGAAGCAUGAUGUUGUGGCAUACAACACCAUGAUUGGUGGGUUUUGUAGAAUUGGAGAGGUUGGAAGGGCUGAAGAGUUUUUUCGAGAAAUGGGGUUGAGUGGUAUGGAGAGUUCUUGUCUCACGUUUGAGCAUCUCAUUAAUGGGUAUUAUAAGAUUGGGGAUGUAAGGCUUUGGUGUUUUUGAGAGUUGCAAUGAGAAAACAUGAGAUUACAUCGAAGAGGAAGAGUUAAGAGUUUCUAAUAAAGGGAUUAUGUCAAGAGGGGAGGACAGAAGAAGCAUUGAAGCUUCAGGCAGAGAUGGUAGGGAAACGGUUUGAACCGAAUUUGGAGAUUUAUAGCGCUUUUAUUGAAGCAAAUACAAAACAAGGGAAUGAUGAACUAGCAGGGAUGUUAAAGAAGGAAAUGCUAGAAACUCAAAUGCCUAAGAAACAAGAUUAGCUGAUUUUAUCCCUCAGCAUUGUGAGGUACCUUUGUUUUGUGGUCAGAUUGCUGCAAUCUUAAAUAGAGGCGGGCAACACAUCUUUCUUGACAUACAGCUUGCUAUAUGGU